UACGGGGGGGGGCAAGCGUUGUUCGGAAUUACUGGGCGUAAAGGGUUCGUAGGUGGCCAACUAAGUCAGACGUGAAAUCCCUCAGCUUAACCGGGGAACUGCGUCUGAUACUGGAUGGCUUGAGAUUGGGAGAGGGAUGCGGAAUUCCAGGUGUAGCGGUGAAAUGCGUAGAUAUCUGGAGGAACACCGGUGGCGAAGGCGGCAUCCUGGACCAAUUCUGACGCUGAGGAGCGAAAGCCAGGGGAGCAAACGGG
rnacentral:rRNA from 1 species